GAAACAUUGAAGGGACCAAGGAGAGAAGUCAGGUGGAGAGAAGUCAGGUGAAAUGGCUAGGAAGACAGGAAUUUGGAUUGUACUUCUCUUCAGGCUAAUAUCACCCACAGUUCCCGUAUCCCUGGGAUCCGAAGGAUCCCUCCCUGUCUCUAUCCGGGGAUUAUGAAAGCCCUACUGAGGAUUUUAAUUUAGGCAGUAUUUCUGGAAGUGAUAUUUUCAUUUCACUUGGCUUUAGACUUGGAGCCUAGCUCUAAUAAAUAUUUAAAGAUGAUAUUGAAACUAGAAUUUUCAAGUUAGAUACAAAGCAUUUGUUGAGCAGCCGUUAAACCCGGGAUUCUAAGGAAAUACAACACAGCUAUUAUUUGUGUUCAUGCUUACAGCGGAGCAUUGGAAGGGGAAGAUGAAGAAUGAGAAUAAGAAAAGCAAACAGAAUGCCUGGGACAGGAACCCUUGUCUCCUUCAGACUUUUUGUGGCCUCAGUGUCUUCUCCGAUUGAUGGAUAAUUCACUUACCAGUCUCAAGAUUCCAAAGAGAAGCAUCACCUGGAUGCAGGAGGUGGGAGCACCUCUCCAGGGACAGCUGGGCACUGUGAGGGGAGGAUGCAGAGCCUGUGACUAUGAGGCCAGUUAAUGUGUCUCCGGGGACAGAGGCUGGCAGAAAAAACCCUGACCUGGGAUACUGGCAGUGAGGCCAGAAGAAGACUCUGGACGUUCAAGGAGCUGGAAAGGGAGGCCUGGACUCUGGAAGAAGGGGCUGGACACCCUCGUGCAAAUCUCAAUUACACCCUGUUCCUUAGGUGGUCCCUGUAACAUCCCACCCGUCCAGGUGGGGCUGCCUUGGUGUCAGAGAACCUGGCUCCACUGAGGAACAAAGUGAAAUUGAGGCUUGGAGAAAAUAAAGCAAGCCUUCUGUUCCAUAGGAGCCGUGUGGGUUUGAACAGGGCUCUUCUCUGAGCCUCGGUUUUCUCAUCUGUAAAGCAAGCUUUAUAAGAACUCUUAUAAGGUCUGUAACUUCUUAUAAGGCUUGUAAAGCAGGCCUCGUAACUCGCAGGGUGAUCGGAGGAUCACAGGUGCGAUGUACGUGAAAGCACA
rnacentral:lncRNA from 10 species